CCUACGGGGGGCUGCAGUCGAGGAUCUUCGGCAAUGGGCGAAAGCCUGACCGAGCGACGCCGCGUGAGCGAUGAAGGCCUUCGGGUUGUAAAGCUCGAAAGUGGGGAGAAAAGGCAACUUGAUCUAUCCACAGUAAGCACGGGCUAAGUUCGUGCCAGCAGCCGCGGUAAGACGAACCGUGCGAACGUUAUUCGGAAUCACUGGGCUUAAAGGGCGCGUAGGCGGGUGAUCAAGUCUGUGGUGAAAUCCUCUCGCUCAACGAGAGAACUGCCCUG
rnacentral:rRNA from 1 species